AAACAGCCCGGGACAGCCAUGGCCGUCUCCCUUCUCGAACAGGCACCCAGCAGCUUGCAAAUGCGGGAAAGGGGCAAAAGUGGGAAGAGAGGAGGGAGGCCUCUCCGCACAGUCGAGGCCUGACCGCCACCUGGACCCCCUUGGCAGGAGCGCCAAUGACCGAAGACCUGAGCACGGCCCUGGGGGGCAGGGCCAGUCCCUCCACAUUGGCCCCCACUAGCCCUCCUUCCUUUCUUUCUUUUAAGCGCUGGUUUUGAAAUCUCACAAAAUUCGAACUAAUCAGAGCCCAGGUUCCAAUAUCUCUUGAUGUUUUUAGUGCAUCCGAAGCCUUGCCAAGGUUUUUAUUUUUAAGCGUGGGGCUUAAAAUAUCCCUCCUCAGCUCUAGCCAGCCAGAGGGAAGCCAGAAUAAAACGCCGUCCUCUUUGAACAUAUGGCAAGUCACUGCUGCUGGAAAGAGGGAGAAAUCAGAAGAGAAAGGAUGUUCUGGUACAAAAUAAGAAUCUGACGCCGAUUUUGUGACUGUUGUUCUUGAAGAGCUGACAGCGCAGAGGACGACAUUUGACCGACCGGUGCUGGAGGAAUGCCAGAACGUUCCGCACUGUCCUCGAGUGCCUUUGUCUCUUGGAGAAGGACAUCACGUAAAUAGUUCUGAGUUAUUACUCUGUGGCCGUCAACUGAUCGAAUCUCCCCCUGGAGGUAUUGUUGACAAGGAGACAGAAAACAGAUGAGGACCCAGGGGAAGAACGGCUACAAAACAUGAAGAUAAAACUUCCGAUGCGUCUGGUGCUACUCCGAGCAUCCGUCUUAGUACGAGGAACUGGAGGCCCAUCUGGGCAGCUCGGUGACGUAGGAAAUAAAUUUGCCAUAUAUCAGAAAUAUGUUGCCCAGUGGCGGACAAUUUAUUCCUGGAGCUCCAUAUGCGUCACAUUUCCAGGCUCAUAAAUGAUAAAUAAUAAAUUUUUAUUUAUAAGUCACCGGAUCCCAGGGGCGGAUGAGCCGACCGAAUGCGGCUGAGAAGCUGGUCCAUUCCCACCACAGACUCGGGGCGCCGGGCGGUGGUCUCACCCAGUUUGGGGAAUUGGGAGCCCAUGAGAAAAGCCAAUACACCUUUAGGAAACCGUGCCUGUCAUACCUCGAAGUUGAGGUUGUGGCAAGUGCAUCGAGGGGAGGUGCCCACAACAACGGAGCCCCGAAAUGCAGGCUUGUAAGCAUGCUUCUUGGUGAGGAUUGACAGACCCGUCCCUCCUUGGAAGACGCGCAUCUGAGAAGCCAUCGCUCCGGGCUUCCUGCACACCCCGGCGCUGUCUGCGUCGUACACAGAGAAUUACCCUCAUCCUUAAAGGAAAGUCAUGCCUCCUCGCCACGUCAGCGGCCCCCGCAGAGGCCUGGGCGUGUGCUGGUCCGCACAGACCGUGGCGCUGGCCGAGGGCGGGAGUGCACGCAGGGCUCAGCCCGGCUCUGGCAGCCGCCAUCCAGGACCGCUUGGACAAAUGGCGGUCGUGAAGAAAGGCGAUGUGGAUGUUGCUCAAAGUGGGGAGGAAAUGUUAUUCCGUAGCAAAAUUAUUCCGAAGCAGCAUUUUUUAAGAAUUUAAUUUAAUUUUUUUUAAGAUUUUAUUUAUUUAUUUGACAGAGAUCACAAGUAGGCAGAGAGGCAGGCAGAGAGAGAGGAAGGGAAGCAGGCUCCCUGCUGAG